rnacentral:lncRNA from 10 species
GUCUCACCAGGACUGCCAGUAGUAGACAGGUGCAGAUCAUAUUUUCUGCUUAGAGCAGAUUCCUUCCUGGGCAGACAUUGAGCACACAGCCAGCUGCAGUGGGCACCAGAGACAUUGCGUCCUUUCUACUCUUCAUGUCCUGAUCCCAGUGAUAAUCUUUGAGGCCCCAGUCGGUGGUUCUUUUUUUUUUUUUUUUUUUGAGAUGGAGUUUUGCUCUUUUGCCCAGGCUGGAGUGCAGUGGUGCGAUCUCAGCUCACUGCAACCUCCACCCACCAGGUUUAAGUGAUUCUCCUGCCUCAGCCUCCCGAGUACCUGGGAUUAUAGGCAUCUGCCAGCAUGUGCAGCUAAUUUUUGUAUUUUUGGUAGAGACAGGGUUUUGCCAUGUUGGCCAGGCUGGUCUCAAACUCCUGGCCUCAGGUGAUCCACCUGCCUCGGCCUCCCAAAGUGCUAGGAUUACAGGCAUGAGCCACCAUGCCUGGCCCAGUAAGUGGUUUUUAAUGAGGGUGAUUUUGCCCCCUUUGGGUACAUUUGGAAUGUCUGGAGACAUUUUUGAUGAUCAUGCCUGGGAGGUGGAUAGUGUUACCGGCAUCUAGUGAGCAGAGGCCAGGGAUGCUGCUAUAUAUCCUAGUAUAGGUACAAGCCCACUGCCACUCCCUAAUGAAGAAUUAUCUAGCUCAAAAUGUCAAAGGCACUUGAACCAGAGUGACUCCAUCUUGAAUAGGGACUCAGUAAAAUGAGGCUGAGACCUGCUGGGCUGUAUCCUCAGGAGGUUAUGCAUUUGUAGUCACAGGAUGAUAGGAGGUCACAAGAUACAGGUCACAAAGAUUCCACUGAUAAAACAGGAUGCAAUAAAGAAGUCUGCCAAAAUUUGCUAAAACCAAGAUGGCAGCAAAAGUGAUCUCUAGUCAUUCUCACUGCUCAUUAUAUGCUAAUUAUAAUGCAUUAACAUGCUAAAAGACACUCCUACCAGCACCAUGACAGUUUACAAAUGCCACAGCAACAUCCAGAAGUUACCCUAUAUGGCCUAAAAGGAAGAGGAACCCUUCAUUCUGGGAAAUCCCUGCCCCUUUCCUGGAAAACUCAUGAAUAAUCCACUACUUAUUUAGCAUAUAAUCAAGAAAUAACCAUAAAAUUAGCCAACCAGAAGCCCUCAGGGCUUUUCUGUCGAUGGAGUAGUCAUUCUUUUAUUCUUUUGCUUUCUUAAUAAACUUUCUUUCACUCUAGUCUGUGGACUUGCCCCAAAUUCUUUCUUGUGUGAGAUCCAAAACCCCUUUCUUGGGGUCUGGAUCAGGUCCCCUUUCUGGUAACAAAAAUGUCAAUAGUGCUAAGGUUGAGAAACCCUAAUUAAGGUAAUUAAAUAAUAGAUAAAAAAGACAUUCCUUUCAAUCCUACCUUCCAAAAAAUGCACACACACUCUCUCUUUCCUUCUCUUUCUCUUUCUAAGAUCACUUUGUAAGCUGAGAGAAUUAUGACAGAGACUGGAGCGACAGCAUUUUAUUUCACUGUAUCUCUGUCCUUUAACACCUCAGUGCUCCCAGCCCCAGGCCUCUUGUGUCCCAGCAUAAAAUCUGUGAGAUUUAAACAUAUACUAUGAGAUGCCUUAUAAAACAUACAGAAUAUGAUCUGACAAGGUCCUUUGACAAUGCCCUCUUUCGCACAAAAUCUUCAGGCAGUAAUUCAAUUUCGAGGCUUUUCUCCUAUUGAAAUACGGUGUGUGACACUACCCAGGCCCUGGACUGCAGCACAAUCUUCAGCACUGGGCAUUUUUUUUCCUGGGUAAUGGAUUUUAUUUCACCAAAAAUAAGCAUUAAAAGGCUUCCAAGGGGACACCAUUGUGCUUACUGAUUUUUUUUUUUCUUUGGAAAAUGUGAGAUGUUGCUGCAUAAUGACAAUAAUCAUUAACUUUAGGUUUAUUCUGGGGUUAAUGAAUUAUUAUAGUGCAGUGAAAAAUUAUUCUCCAAUAAAUGUUGAAUUCCAUUUUUUCUGAAACUUCUCUCUCUUUUUUUUAUAUGUUUGGUAUUUUUGUCUUUUCCAUUAAAG